rnacentral:rRNA from 1 species
GACGAGCCUCACAAACGUUAUUCGGAAUUACUGGGCUUAAAGGGUGCGUAGGCGGGCGCGGAAAGUUGGGUGUGAAAUCCCUCGGCUCAACCGAGGAACUGCGCCCAAAACUACCGUGCUCGAGGAAGAUAGAGGUGAGCGGAACUUACGGUGGAGCGGUGAAAUGCGUUGAUAUCGUAAGGAACACCCGUGGCGAAAGCGGCUCACUGGGUCUUCUCUGACGCUGAUGCACGAAAGCUAGGGGGAGCAAACGGGG